rnacentral:rRNA from 1 species
AUGAACGCUGGCGGCGUGCCUAAUACAUGCAAGUCGAGCGAACAGACGAGGAGCUUGCUCCUCUGACGUUAGCGGCGGACGGGUGAGUAACACGUGGAUAACCUACCUAUAAGACUGGGAUAACUUCGGGAAACCGGAGCUAAUACCGGAUAAUAUAUUGAACCGCAUGGUUCAAUAGUGAAAGACGGUUUUGCUGUCACUUAUAGAUGGAUCCGCGCCGCAUUAGCUAGUUGGUAAGGUAACGGCUUACCAAGGCGACGAUGCGUAGCCGACCUGAGAGGGUGAUCGGCCACACUGGAACUGAGACACGGUCCAGACUCCUACGGGAGGCAGCAGUAGGGAAUCUUCCGCAAUGGGCGAAAGCCUGACGGAGCAACGCCGCGUGAGUGAUGAAGGUCUUCGGAUCGUAAAACUCUGUUAUUAGGGAAGAACAAAUGUGUAAGUAACUAUGCACGUCUUGACGAUACCUAAUCAGAAAGCCACGGCUAACUACGUG